rnacentral:rRNA from 1 species
GGGCCCGCACAAGCGGUGGAUUAUGUGGAUUAAUUCGAUGCAACGCGAAAAACCUUACCUGGCCUUGACAUGUACGGAACUUUCCAGAGAUGGAUUGGUGCCCGAAAGGGAGCCGUAACACAGGUGCUGCAUGGCUGUCGUCAGCUCGUGUCGUGAGAUGUUGGGUUAAGUCCCGCAACGAGCGCAACCCUUGCCAUUAAUUGCCAUCAUUUAGUUGGGCACUUUAAUGGGACUGCCGGUGACAAACCGGAGGAAGGUGGGGAUGACGUCAAGUCCUCAUGGCCCUUAUGGCCAGGGCUUCACACGUAAUACAAUGGUCGGUACAGAGGGUAGCCAACCCGCGAGGGGGAGCCAAUCCCAGAAAGCCGAUCGUAGUCCGGAUUGCAGUCUGCAACUCGACUGCAUGAAGUCGGAAUCGCUAGUAAUCGCGGAUCAGCAUGUCGCGGUGAAUACGUUCCCGGGCCUU